CUGAGGCGUGAUGACGAGGCACUACGGUGCUGAAGCAACAAAUGCCCUGCUUCCAGGAAAAGCCUCUAAGCAUCAGGUAACAUCAAAUCGUACCCCAAACCGACACAGGUGGUCAGGUAGAGAAUACCAAGGCGCUUGAGAGAACUCGGGUGAAGGAACUAGGCAAAAUGGUGCCGUAACUUCGGGAGAAGGCACGCUGAUAUGUAGGUGAAGUCCCUUGCGGAUGGAGCUGAAAUCAGUCGAAGAUACCAGCUGGCUGCAACUGUUUAUUAAAAACACAGCACUGUGCAAACACGAAAGUGGACGUAUACGGUGUGACGCCUGCCCGGUGCCGGAAGGUUAAUUGAUGGGGUCAGCGCAAGCGAAGCUCUUGAUCGAAGCCCCGGUAAACGGCGGCCGUAACUAUAACGGUCCUAAGGUAGCGAAAUUCCUUGUCGGGUAAGUUCCGACCUGCACGAAUGGCGUAAUGAUGGCCAGGCUGUCUCCACCCGAGACUCAGUGAAAUUGAACUCGCUGUGAAGAUGCAGUGUACCCGCGGCAAGACGGAAAGACCCCGUGAACCUUUACUAUAGCUUGACACUGAACAUUGAGCCUUGAUGUGUAGGAUAGGUGGGAGGCUUUGAAGUGUGGACGCCAGUCUGCAUGGAGCCGGCCUUGAAAUACCACCCUUUAAUGUUUGAUGUUCUAACGUGGACCCGUGAUCCGGGUUGCGGACAGUGUCUGGUGGGUAGUUUGACUGGGGCGGUCUCCUCCUAAAGAGUAACGGAGGAGCACGAAGGUUGGCUAAUCCUGGUCGGACAUCAGGAGGUUAGUGCAAUGGCAUAAGCCAGCUUGACUGCGAGCGUGACGGCGCGAGCAGGUGCGAAAGCAGGUCAUAGUGAUCCGGUGGUUCUGAAUGGAAGGGCCAUCGCUCAACGGAUAAAAGGUACUCCGGGGAUAACAGGCUGAUACCGCCCAAGAGUUCAUAUCGACGGCGGUGUUUGGCACCUCGAUGUCGGCUCAUCACAUCCUGGGGCUGAAGUAGGUCCCAAGGGUAUGGCUGUUCGCCAUUUAAAGUGGUACGCGAGCUGGGUUUAGAACGUCGUGAGACAGUUCGGUCCCUAUCUGCCGUGGGCGCUGGAGAACUGAGGGGGGCUGCUCCUAGUACGAGAGGACCGGAGUGGACGCAUCACUGGUGUUCGGGUUGUCAUGCCAAUGGCACUGCCCGGUAGCUAAAUGCGGAAGAGAUAAGUGCUGAAAGCAUCUAAGCACGAAACUUGCCCCGAGAUGAGUUCUCCCUGACCCUUUAAGGGUCCUGAAGGAACGUUGAAGACGACGACGUUGAUAGGCCGGGUGUGUAAGCGCAGCGAUGCGUUGAGCUAACCGGUACUAAUGAACCGUGAGGCUUAACCUUACAACGCCGAAG
rnacentral:rRNA from 1 species